AGGGUUUGAUCAUGGCUCAGGACGAACGCUGGCGGCGUGCUUAACACAUGCAAGUCAAGGGGGGGCCGCAAGGCUCAACCGGCGAACGGGUGCGUAACACGUGAGCGACCUACCUUUUUGUGGGGGAUAGCCGGCCCAACGGCCGGGUAAUACCGCAUACGCUUGGUUCUGGGCAUCUGGGGCCAAGGAAACUUUCGAGGCAGGAAGAGGGGCUCGCGGCCUAUCAGCUAGUUGGCGGGGUAAUGGCCCACCAAGGCAGUGACGGGUAGCUGGUCUGGGAGGAUGGCCAGCCACAUUGGGACUGAGAGACGGCCCAGACUCCUACGGGAGGCAGCAGUGGGGAAUCUUGCGCAAUGGCCGAAAGGCUGACGCAGCGACGCCGCGUGGGGGAGGAAGGGCUUCGGCUCGUAAACCCCUGUUGCCCGGGGCGAACAUCCUCUUUCGAGGGGACUGACGGUACCGGGUGAGGAAGCACCGGCUAACUCCGUGCCAGCAGCCGCGGUAAUACGGAGGGUGCGAGCGUUGUCCGGAAUCACUGGGCGUAAAGGGCGCGUAGGUGGCCGAGCAAGGUCGCGGUGAAAGCUUGGGGCUCAACCCCAAGUCGGCCGUGGCAACUACUGGGCUGGAGCACUGUAGGGGCAGAUGGAAUUCCGGGUGUAGCGGUGGAAUGCGUAGAGAUCCGGAAGAACACCGGUGGCGAAGGCGGUCUGCUGGGCAGUUGCUGACACUGAGGCGCGACAGCGUGGGGAGCAAACAGGAUUAGAUACCCUGGUAGUCCACGCCGUAAACGAUGGGCACUAGAUGCUUGGGGGAGCGACCCUCCGAGU
rnacentral:rRNA from 1 species